rnacentral:lncRNA from 1 species
GAUCACUGUCUGCCCCAACACAACACCCUCAGAGUUAAGGUCACUGUCUGGCCACACAACACCCUCAGAGUUAAGGUCACUGUCUGUCUACACAACACCCUCAGAGUUAAGGUCACUGUCUGUCCACACACAACACCCUCAGAGUUAAGGUCACAGUCUGUCCACACAACAACCUCACAGUUAAGGUCACAGUCUGUCCAGACAACAACACCCAAAGAGUUAAGAUCAUUGUCUGUCCACACAACAAACUCAGAGUUAAGGUCACAGUCUGUCCACACAACAACCUCAGAGUUAAGGUCACAGUCUGUCCACACAACAACCUCACAGUUAAGGUCACAGUCUGUCCAGACAACAACACCCAAAGAGUUAAGAUCAUUGUCUGUCCACACAACAAACUCAGAGUUAAGGUCACAGUCUGUCCACACAACAACCUCAGAGUUAAGGUCAACGUCUGGCCACACAACACCCUCAGAGUUAAGGUCACUGUCUGGCCACACAACACCCUCAGAGUUAAGGUCACUUUCUGCCCCAACACAACACCCUCAGAGUUAAGGUCACUGUCUGCACCAACACAACACCCUCAGAGUUAAGGUCACUGUCCGCCCUGACACAACACCCUCAGAGUUAAGGUCACUGUCUGCACCAACACAACACCCUCAGAGUUAAGGUCACUGUCUGCCCCAACACAACACCCUCAGAGUUAAGGUUAUUGUCUGCCCUGACAAAACACCCUCAGAGUUAAGGUCACUGUCUGUCCACACAACACCCUCAGAGUCAAGGUCACUCUCUGCCUGACACAACACCCUCAGAGUUAAGGUCACAGUCUGUCCACACAACACCCUCAGAGUUAAGGUCGCUGUCUGGCCACACAACACGCUCAGAGUUAAGGUCACUGUCUGGCCACACAACACCCUCAGAGGUAAGGUCAAUGUCUGGCCACACAACACCCUCAGAGUUAAGGUCACUCUCUGCCUGACACAACACCCUCAGAGUUAAGGUCACAGUCUGUCCACACAACACCCUCAGAGUUAAGGUCAAUGUCUGGCCAAACAACACCCUCAGAGUUAAGGUGACUGUUUGCACCAACACAACACCCUCAGAGUUAAGGUCACUGUCUGCCCUGACACAACACCCUCAGAGUUAAGGUCACUGUCUGUCCACACAACACCCUCAGAGUUAAGGUCACUUUCUGCCCCAACACAACACCCUCAGAGUUAAGGUCACUGUCUG